rnacentral:piRNA from 1 species
UAGGAGUGUCUACUUCGCUAGCAUACCUUGU